rnacentral:tRNA from 1 species
GUUGACCUUGGCGGGGUCGGCGCCGGUCUCCUGGCUCCAGGCGAGGACGACGCUCGCGAAGGCCUCGUUGAUCUCGAAGAGGUCGAUG